rnacentral:lncRNA from 1 species
AGAUGGAGUGUGUGAGGCUCUGAAUCGGUUCCCCAGUCUCCUCUCUGACCAUCUGGAGGGCCACCCAUUCCUGAGGAACUGUUCCCCGAACAAGCAAGUCUCAGUUUCCUGCCUUCCUGGGAAGUGGGGAAAGGCUGAGAGGCCCCGUGCUGGGGGUGAAGCUAAUUCAUUAGUUACGCCUCAACAAGGACCGGGUGCCUGCAGUGCCAGCGUGAUUCAUCAUGAUGAUUGCCCCACUGCCAGCCUGCGUGGGCCUGGAACGCCAGCACAUUUUACCUUUACCCACUGAGAAGGGCCUGGUGGGAGGUGAAGGUACAGGAUCUGCCGAGAGCAAGAAAAAGACUCUGAGAAAGAAGAGGGCUGGUCCUCCAUGCUCUCGGCCCCAGGAAGCUCUGCCAGGCUGGUGCCGGGGUGGAGAGGCUCAUGUGGGCUCAUGUGGUGCUG